GAUGAACGCUGGCGGCGUGCUUAACACAUGCAAGUCGAACGAGAAGUGAAGACGGAAACCUUCGGGCGGAAGGCUUUAUUUCGAGUGGCGGACGGGUGAGUAACGCGUGGGUAUCCUGCCUCAUACAGGGGGAUAACAGUUGGAAACGACUGUUAAUACCGCAUAAGACCACAGCACCGCAUGGUGCGGGGGUAAAAACUCCGGUGGUAUGAGAUGGACCCGCGUUCGAUUAGCCAGUUGGCGGGGUAACGGCCCACCAAAGCGACGAUCGAUAGCCGAUCUGAGAGGAUGACCGGCCACAUUGGGACUGAGACACGGCCCAAACUCCUACGGGAGGCAGCAGUGGGGAAUAUUGCACAAUGGGGGAAACCCUGAUGCAGCGACGCCGCGUGAGUGAAGAAGUAUUUCGGUAUGUAAAGCUCUAUCAGCAGGGAAGAAAAUGACGGUACCUGAGUAAGAAGCCCCGGCUAACUACGUG
rnacentral:rRNA from 1 species